UGACUAAGCUAUACGGUCGCGCGGUAUCAUGCCGAAAGGUAGUACCGUGAGGAAAGUCCGGGCUUCACAGGACAGGAUAACGGAUAACGUCCGCCGAGGGUGACCUCAGGGAAAGUGCAACAGAAAUAAACCGCCGUAUUUAUACGGUAAGGAUGGAAAGGCGAGGUAAGAGCUCACCGGCACACUGGCGACUUUGUGCAAAUGUAAACCCUAUCCGAAGCAACACCGUAUGUGGGAGCAGAUCUUCUGAUGUCUGUCCGGCAGAAUCCCACGGGUGGCACAGAGCUUUGCGGUAACGUAAAGACAAGAUAGAUGACCGUACACGACAGAACCCGGCUUAUUGCUUGGUCAAAAC
rnacentral:RNase_P_RNA from 1 species